GGGUCGGAAGGUGAAGAGGUCAGAGCUAUGCAGGAAGCAUUGCAAAAACUAGGAUUUUACUCGGGUGAGGAAGACAUGGAGUUUUCCAGCUUCUCAAGCGGGACUGAACGUGCUGUCAAGACUUGGCAAGCCUCCUUAGACGCCCCUCAAGAUGGCAUAGUGACUGCAGAACUUCUUGAACAAUUAUA